UUCUCUUCUCUUCCGGUUGGCAACAAAACAUAACACAUUGAGAAUCUUAUUGCAACUUGGAAAUGUGAGUUGCACCCUUCUUUUCCAAAUAGCUACAACCAAACAUGCCAAUAAGGAACCAGCAAAGCACGAUUCAAUCCCGCAUUCAAUUUCAAGUUUUCGUCGCUAAUUCCACGCGAACUCCGGCGAGCUACCACCUCGUCCCAAAUUAACCCGAGCCACCAACUCCGCUAGAUCCCUCUAGAACCCUGUAACACAAUCCACCACAUCCAAGCCUUAGGUAACCUCUGUUUCGCUGAAUACCAUCAACUCCAGCGAAUUUCAUCUUCUCCGAUGUUGACGUAUGAAGAAAGGUUACGCAGGGUCGCAGGUCUAUACUUAACAGGCCUGUGGCGUUGAUGGACUCAUUGGUGUUCAAUUUGAUUUUCCGCUAUGUAUUGAUCUGUAGUCUGGAUUAUUGUUUAUCGUUAAUAAAAGUACAUGUGUUUUGGUAUUUCAUCUUGGACUGUGUGUACUAGCUAUUGAUCCAGGGACUAGUACAAAAUACACAGAGAUUCCGGAUCCUUACGGGUCUGGGUCGCCAUAUGUCCAGAGUUUACAGGAUUAAGAACUGCAAGCUUGGGGAGGUUAUGUUGUGUGGAGUAUUUUUCAAGGAUUUUUA